rnacentral:lncRNA from 1 species
GCGUCUCCUUUGCAAACGACCUGCCUUUCCCAGGAGACGGUGGACUCUGAAGUUGCUGCUUUGCUCACAGAUGUAUCUUCAUACCCAGCACACAGUAGAUGGUCCAAAAACAUUUACUGAGGGGCCGGCGUGGUGACGCAGCAGGUUAAGCGGCCACCUGCGAUGCCGGCAUCCCACAUCAGAGCACUGGUUCGAGUUCCGGCUGCUCCACUUCAGACCCAGCUCCCUGCUAAUGCGCUUGGGAAAGCAGCGGAAAAUGGUCCAAGCACUUGAGUCCCUGCCGCCUCCAUGGGAGGCCUGGAUGGAAUUCCUUGUUUCUGUUUUCAACCUGGCCCAGCCCUGGCCAUGAUGACCAUCUGGGGAGUGAGGCAGCAGAUGGAAAAUCUGUGUCACUCUGCCUUUCAAAUAAAUAAAACAACUCUUAAAAAAAAUGUUUCCCAAACGAACAUGUGAAUGUCACAUUCGACAGGACACAGCAUCUAGACAGGAUUUUUUAAAAAGGCUAGCUGGAGCUAGAGGCCUGAAUUUCAGAGCGCGAGCAGGCACAGCUGAGUGUGGGCGGCAUCCAUUGUGACAACAGCUGAACACGGGGUCGAGGCGGAUGGGGGCACAGAGCAGCAGGGAGGGGAGGACCGGACUGCAGGGCAGUGUCCGGGCAGAGUCGCUGGGAUGGGCCGGAGGAAGGAUUCAUGGAAGAGACCGCAGAGGGAAAAGAAAAGGCACACACAAUGUCCCCGUGCUCGUUCAACCUGCUUCUGCCACCGCGCCUGCUCUCUGUGCCCCUGUGCGCCGCGCUGCAGCCUGCGCUGGGAGUGCAGCGGCCUCAUGCGCUGCCUAGCAGGGGGCUUUAGUAACUGAGCAGGAACACUCCAAAUUCUGAAGGGGUGGCGGAGAAGGGUCAGGCGACCGCAGGAGCUCAGAUUUUAUUUGUCUGCAGACUGAUUUCCCACACGGCUCCCACAGCUGGGCGGGGGUGGGGGUUGGGGGUGGCCCCUCCACGCCCAUCUGGGCGGGGCGGGGGGGGGGGUGGCCCCUCCACGCCCGUCUCUAUCCGGGGAUUUUGAGAGCCGAGGACUUCAGUCUGGGCAGCGUUUCUGGAAGGGGUGUUUUCAUUGACUCGGCUUUGGCCCCAGGGCCUAGCUCUGAGACCGAGCGAAGCGUUAGAUGGGGUGGAGGGAACUCAGAGCACUUGAGCUUCAUCCAGCAGCCAUGCGCGUGCACCCCAGGACUCUGGGAAAUAGAGCACGAGUGGGUGCUGUGUCCAUGCUGCCAGCUUAGGGUUGCAGCGAGAGGAAAAAGUGGAUUUGCUGCAAGGAGAAGAAAAAGAGAACGUGCAAGCAGCACGCCUGAGCCAGGGACACUCGUCUCCAGACUUUCCGCGGCCUCCAUGUGCUCCCCGGUUGGUGGGGAAUUCGCUCCCGGCUCCCAGGAUCCCAAGGAGACGCUGCGUUUGGGAUGCAAGAGGCAGGUUUCCCUCUGCUCACCUUGAAGGAAUCAUCAAGGGUGGUUGCUGUCUAGGAUGUCUGGGUUCCAGAGCAGAGCUGGGCUGCGGGGGGUCAGGAGGGGAGACGCCUGGCGUCUCAGAGGGACUGCAGCUCCAGGAGGAAUUCGGAGCUCGCCAGGACCAGGGUUCUGGAAGGAGUAAUAGGAAGCUGGCGUGCUCCAUGCUCGCAGGGAGCCGUGCACCGGGCAGCUGGGCUCCUGGCCUCCGCAGGCUGCUCCCUGGCAGGUCUGGCUUCACCCCUUUUCUCACUUGGCUGUGACUGUGACACUCACACCUGCUCCUGGGCAGGGAGGCCGUGACCCUGAGAGCCUGCCAGAGAGGAGACCCACCUCGGAGCCAGAGUGGAGGUCUCACUUCUGGCACAAGAGGCCUUUGGAGGAGGCCGAGUGGAGAAAAAUGAAGGUGACAGGGUCCAGAUUGCCAGGUCUUCCUGCAGUGCCAGCACUCCCUGGGGCUUCUGGGCACCGGGUGUGGGGCUCCAUGGGAUGCACAGCCAUGGAGCCCCCACGUCAAGGUCGGUCUGAUAGCUGUUGCUGUGUCUUUAUCACAAGGUGGAUGUUGCUAGUUUCGGUUAGGGCAAUGCUUUCCCACGGUCGGGACUUUCCAGAGGAGUUGAGAAUGUUGUAAACAACAAGAUGGCACCGAGGACCGCGCGGUGAGCCUGCCUGCUGUGUGACACCUCAUCUGAUUGGCCCGAGGACGCGUGCACACUGCGUGAACAGACAGUGGAUUGGAGUGUUCCGUGCAUGGACUGGAGCCCGCUUGCAAUUGGCCGGAUUUUGUAUAUAAGCUGUGUGCUGAGGAAGGAGGGGGCUUUUUCUGUUCACUCUCCUCCCUUCAUUCUUUUUCUGUCACUGUUAUUUUCUUAUUAAAAGUCUACUGAAGACCGAUAAGCUGUAAACAGUGUCGUUCCUUUGCAGGCAAGGGAGCGACACCGGGAGGGGAUGAAGGAGAGCCCUGAGCAUGAGACCGCGAGGCUGGGCAGGGAAGACCCCGGCCCGGGACGUUGCUGACUGUGGGUCAUAAGUCUCUGGAGGUUCCAGGGGCUGAAAGCAGAGAUCUGGACUCAGAUGCAGCUGGGCUCCCUCUUGUACAAAACUCCUUGAUGCUCUGUUCCUCGGUGGUCCCUCCACCAUCCCAGCCCCCCAUGCCGGCCUGCACCCCCUGCAUGGAAGCUGGCUCUGGAGACCCCAGGGUCAGAGAGAACCAGCAACCCUGCACCAUGGACACCGUAGGGAUUUGAACAAGGCCCCUUGCUCUGAACCUCGGUUGGCUCAUCUGUAGAAUGGGCCUAGGGCCAGCGCUGUGGUAUAGUAGGUAAAGCCACCUCCUGCAAUGCCGGCAUCCCACAUGGAUGCCGGUUCAAGUCCCGGCUGCUCCACUUCCCAUCCAGCUCUCUGCUAUGGCCUGGGAAAGCAGUGGAAAAUGGCCCAAGUGCUUGGGCCCCUGCACCCACUUGGGAGACCCAGAAAAGGCUCCUGGCUCCUGGCUUUGGAUCGACGCAGCUACGGCCAUUGCGGCUAAUUGGGGAGUGAACCAGUGGAUGGAAGAACUCUCUCUUUCUGCCUCUUUUUCUCUCUUUGUGUAACUCUGAGUUUCAAAUUAAUAAAUAAAUAAAUCUCUUAAAAAAAAAAAAAAGU